rnacentral:snRNA from 1 species
CAGCGCUUAGCUGUUCACGAAUCUCAUAUCUCUUUCGCCUUUUACUAAAGAGAUCAGCGAGCACGGCUCUCUCAAGCGCAUAUCAACAAUCUUUGAAAGGCUUUUGCCU